GUCUCUGUAGACAAUGGAUAGUGCGUUGAACUUCAAUUCCAAAGGUCAUGGGUUCAGAUCCCACCUGGGAUG